rnacentral:rRNA from 1 species
CGAUGAGUGCUGGGUGUCCGACAUCUGUUGGGUGCCGUAGCUAACGCGUUAAGCACUCCACCUGGGAAGUACGGUCGCAAGACUGAAACUCAAAGGAAUUGACGGGGGCCCGCACAAGCGGUGGAGCAUGUGGUUUAAUUCGAAGCAACGCGCAGAACCUUACCAGGUCUUGACAUCCACGGAACCCUGGUGAAAGCCGGGGGUGCCCGCAAGGGAGCNGUGAGACAGGUGNUGCAUGGUCGUCGUCAGCUCGUGUCGUGAGAUGUUGGGUUAAGUCCCGCAACGAGCGCAACCCUUGUUGCUAGUUGCCAUCAGUUCGGCUGGGCACUCUAGCGAGACUGCCUACGAAAGUAGGAGGAAGGCGGGGAUGACGUCUGAUCCGCAUGGCCCUUACGACCUGGGCGACACACGUGCUACAAUGCCUGCCACAAAGCGCUGCGACCCGGCAACGGGAAGCCAAUCGCAUAAAAGCAGGCUCAGUUCGGAUUGGGGUCUGCAACUCGACCCCAUGAAGCUGGANUCNCUAGUAAUCGCGGAUCAGCCAUGCCGCGGUGAAUACNGUUCCCGGGCCUUGUACACACCGCCCGUCAAGCCAUGGGAGUGGGUUUUGCCUGAAGUCGCCGGGAGCCACAGGCAGG